rnacentral:rRNA from 1 species
AGUAGUGUAUGCUUCUCCUAAAGACUAAGCCAUGCAUGCCUUCGAAUACGAGGAAGCAAUUCUCUCUGAAUCUGCGAACGGCUCCGCAAACCAGUUGUAAACUAAAGCAAGCAAGCCUGCGGCUCGGCCUUCACGGGUUGGGUCGUGGGUGAUACGGAUAACCCUGGUAAUUCUGAGGCUAAUACGAGAAUAUAAACCCUGGUCGACUGGGCAACCGGAAGAUUGGGGGGCGUGUGAUCUAUUGCAGGAACGAUCCAGGAAGGGGUGCACGCUCGGACCGCGACAAAGACAGCAACGGUGAACCUUCACGGGGGAUCUCGAGCUGAGCGGCUCUUGCGAUGUGCUUCUGACCUAUCAACUAGAUGGCAGCGUAACGGACAUGCCAUGGUUACAACGGGUACAGAGGAUUAGGGUUCGAUCCUGGAGAGUGGGCCUGAGAGAUUGCUCAUACUUCUAAGGAAGGCAGCAGGCGCGCAACGUUCCCCUUGGGCAAUGCCCGAGGGCGUUAGGGGACAUAUGAAUGGUUGCCUUUUUGGUGGCCAAUUCAAAUGGGUCUGUUCUAAACAGCCUCU